AAAAUAUUCCAGUCAGGUACCUCUGAGUGCAACAGCAGUGUGAUGCAAAUAAGGAACAGAUAAUCAAAUCAAACUUUCUAAUCGAGUUUUGCUAUGCUGACUCUCUUAUUUCUUUCUACCCUGCAGUUUGCGUGUUGUUUUACAACACUGCAAAAUUUGCCUGAAGAGUAAAUAUUUGUGAGUUUUCAGAAUCUUGUCAUGUCCCACAAAGGAAAAUAAUUUUCCUGUGCUACUUCUACUAUUACCUUGAUUUCACCGUGGGAAGGUACAGAUCUAAUCCUUUGGAAGGGGGGAACUAUGAGGUGAAGAAGCAGCCAGAGGAGUAAAACAGGGUUUUGAUAUAAAUUUGGCCAGUUGAGAAUGCUGAACAGAACCUCAGCUGAAGUGAACUGAUGCAACUAUUGAGAAGCUGUCUUGUUGAAGAACAGAAGUGAGAAAUAAUCUGGAUGGGUAUCUGGUAGCCAACCAAGUUUUCCCCUGCUCUAGUCUGGAUUCUUCCCUUGAGCUGCAGUCUUUCAGCAACUAUUCCAGUUUGGGCCCUCUCCUGUGGUCACAGAUCCUUCAGGAGACAUCCACGUGCUCUGUCACUGUUUAUUCCAUGGGCUGCAGAGGAAACUCUCUCCAGCACCUCUUCAUCUUCCUCCUUCUCUGGCUUUGGUGCCUAGAGGAUGCAGGACACAGAAAUCUCCUUUCUGG
ensembl:lncRNA